rnacentral:rRNA from 1 species
GAUGAACGCUGGCGGCGUGCCUAACACAUGCAAGUCGAGCGAACGGACGAGAAGCUUGCUUCUCUGAUGUUAGCGGCGGACGUGAGAGUAAUACGUGGUAACUCUACCUAUAAGAUUGGGAUAACUACGGUAAAUUGGUGCUAAAACGGGAAGAAACUUCGCAUGGUAGUGUUCAUAAGUGAAAGACGGUCUUGCUGUAACUUAUGGACGGUUCCUCGCUGCAUUAGGUAGUUGGUAAGGUAACGGCUUAUCAAGGCAACUAUGCAUAGCCGACCUGAGAGGGUGAGCGGCCACCCUGGAACUGAAACACGGUCCAGACUACUACGGGAGGCAGCAGUAGGGAAUCUAACGCAAUGGGCGAAAGCCUGACGGAGCAACGCCGCGUGAGUGAUGAAAAUCUUCGGAUCGUAAAACUCUGCUAUUAGGGAAGAACAAAUGUGUAAGUAACUGUGCACAUCUUGACGGUACCUAAUGAAAAAGCCACGGCUAACUACGUG